rnacentral:rRNA from 1 species
CUAAGUACUUGCUGAAACAAAGCGAAACCGCAAAUGGCUCAUUAUAUCAGUUAUGGUUCACAAGACUGUACCUUACUACUUGGAUAACUGUGGUAAUUCUAGAGCUAAUACAUGCAACAGAGCUCCGACCGCAAGGGACGAGCGCUUUUAUUAGACCAAAACUAAACGGACUUGUCCGUUCUAUGUGGUGACUCUGGAUAACUAUGUCUGAUCGCACGGGCUUGUCCCGGCGACGUAUCUUUCAAGUGUCUGCCUUAUCAACUGUCGAUGGUAGGUUAUGCGCCUACCAUGGUUGUAACGGGUGACGGGGGAUCAGGGUUCGAUCCCGGAGAGGGAGCCUGAGAAACGGCUACCACAUCCAAGGAAGGCAGCAGGCGCGCAAAUUACCCACUCCCGGCACGGGGAGGUAGUGACGAAAAAUAACAAUACAAGACUCUUUUGAGACCUUGUAAUUGGAAUGAGUACACUCUAAGUCCUUUAACGAGGAUCCAUUGGAAGACCAGUCUGGUGCCAGCACCUGCGGUAACUCCAGCUCCAAUAGCGUAUAUUAAAGUUGCUGCGGUUAAAAAGCUCGUAGUUGGAUCUCAGUUCCGGACGGGCGGUCUACCUACCGGUAUAACUGCCCGGUCCGAACAAUGCCGUCGGCUUCUCUUGAUGAUCUUAACCGGUUGUCUUGGGAGGGUCCGACAAGUUUACUUUGAAAAAAUUAGAGUGCUCAAAGCAUGCGUGACGCAUGAAUAAUGGUGCAUGGAAUAAUGGAAUAGGACCUCGGUUCUGUUUUGUUGGUUUUCGGAAGACGAGGUAAUGAUUAAGAGGGACAGACGGGGGCAUUCGUACUGCGGCGCUAGAGGUGAAAUUCUUGGACCGCCGCAAGACGAACUACAGCGAAAGCAUUUGCCAGAAUGUU